rnacentral:misc_RNA from 1 species
UAUUAUCUAAGGCAUAGCUGCUCUGACCAAUUAUGCAGGCGCAUUUUAAAAAUACAAGAAUAAAAAGAGCAGGUAGGAUCUUCAAUAUAAGUUAUUAAGAAGGUUAGAGCUAUAACUUGUUGUCCACAAACCCAGUACACACCAGUGUACUGUAGAGUAGGACUGUAGAGUGAAACAACCAAAGCCAUUGGCACAUUUAGCCAAAAAGAAUUCUGAUCUAUUCUCAAAUUUUAUUUAAAGUUCAAGGAGGAA